ACUAACUAAUCACAGCAGUCAUGCCAUUCCAAAUUGUAAACAAAACAUUUGAAAAAAAAAAUCAUAGAACUUUUUCGGAAUUUAAGAUCAAACGGAAGGUUUCCAUUUACAAGGAGGAAAGGUUGGUCAACAUGGAUCCACCAGUAAUAUCCUUUCUUGAAUUUCCAUCAAGUUUUAUCUGAGCUGUUUUCUGGAAUAGUACCUCGUGGGCAGCGAAGAAUGUAUGUCUAGAGUGUUCUGGAUUGAAACAAGGAUGAGGGACGUGUUGAAGACAUGCGGCAGAACAACAGGCUCGACCCCAAUCUCAAAUUCUAAACCAUUUCAACCUUAUAGCUU